AGACAAUGCAUGUAUUAAUUGCUUGUGUCUUGAAAGACAUUAAUUACAAUCCAUGCAAUAUUUGAGUGACUUUUAAACAAAAAUAUAAUUUCACAAAACUUAAGUUCAUUUGAACUUGCUGCAUGAGAAAAAGGUGCUCACCAGUGCUUAUAACAUACUUAUGCAAAAGGGGUAAACAAAGAGGAGUAUCAGUCUUAUCCGUUCCAUCUUCUCUGGUGUAAGUGAAUGAGGCAAUGAGGUUAUUAGGGAGCAUCUUAGCGAGAAAAAAAAACGGAUGUGUGAUUUGCAGUUAUAUCGAAAACAACAUGGGCGUUCACUGCAAAUGGUGAUGUGGCUCCCCCUACAGGACAUGUCUACAACAACAAGACAGUAUGUUACUUACAUUAUCGAAUACAUUUCAUUCAGGGUGAUAGGCAUGAAUUUGGAGACUUAAAGAAUAAAGUUAUGCAUUAAAUGAAGU